GGGCGGGUCCUGCGCAGCCGCUCCUGGAGCCGCGGCCCCGCCCCCCCCGGAGCCCCGAAUUCCUGCAGGAGGCGCCGGGUCCGGUUCCGGUCCCAGUCCCGGUUCUGGCUCCAGUUCAGAUCCCGGUGCCGCUCCUGGGAACAAAUCGGAGCCCGGUUCCGGUCCCGGUUCCGGUUCUGAUCCCGGUCCCGAUCCCGGUUCUGGUCCCGAUCCCGGUUCCGAUCCCGGUUCCGGUCCCGGUUCCGGUUCUGAUCCCGGUUCCGGUCCCGGUUCCGGUUAUGAUCCCGGUCCCGGUUCCGGUCCCGGUUCCGGUUCUGAUCCCGGUUCCGGUCCCGGUUCCGGUCCCGGUUCCGGUUCUGAUCCCGGUUCUGAUCCCGAUCCCGGUUCUGAUCCCGGUCCCGGUUCCGGUCCCGGUUCUGAUCCCGGUUCUGGUCCCGAUCCCGGUUCUGGUUCUGAUCCCGGUUCUGGUCCCGGUUCUGGUUCUGAUCCCGGUUCCGAUCCCGGUUCUGAUCUCGAUCCCGGUUCCGGUUCCAGUUCUGGUCCCGAUCCCAAUCCCGAUCCAGAUCCCAAUUCUGGUUCCCAUCCCAGUCCCGAUCCCGGUUCUGGUCCCGGUUCCGAUCCCGGUUCUGGUCCCGGUUCCGAUCCCGUUCCCAAUCCCAGUUCCGAUCCCAAUCCCGGUCCCGGUUCUGGUUCUGAUCCCGGUUCUGGUUCCGAUCCCAGUCCCGAACCCGCUCCCAGUCCCGAUCCCGGUCCCGGUUCUGGUUCCGGUCCCGUUCCCAAUCCCAGUCCCGGUUCUGAUCCCGAACCCGGUCCCAAUCCCAGUUCCGUUCCCAAUCCUGUUCCCGGUUCUGGUUCUGAUCCCGUUCCGAUCCCAAUCCCAAUCCCGAUCCAAAUCCGGUUCCGAUCCCGUUCCCAAUCCCGGUCCCGGUUCCGAUCCCGAUCCCGGUUCUGGUUCUGAUCCCGGUUCUGGUUCCGGUCCCGUUCCCAAUCCCGGUCCCGGUCCCGGUUCCGAUCCCAUUCCCGAACCUGGUCCCGCUCCGGUUCCUGGUCCCGCUUCCGGUCCCGCUCCAGUUCCCGGUUCUGGUCCCGCUCCANNNNNNNNNNNNNNNNNNNNCGGACCCCCCCUGGUAAUUAAUGAGCCUUAAUUAGCGCUAAUUAACGGGAAAUUAACGGGGUACGGGGCACUAAUGGGGUGUCGGUAAUUAACGGUAAUUAGCGCUAAUUAACGGGGAAAUUAACGGGGUACGGGGCACUAAUGGGGUGUUGGUAAUUAGCGGUAAUUAGCGCUAAUUAACGGGGAAAUUAACGGGGUACGGGGCUAAUGGAGUGUCGGUAAUUAGCGUUAAUUAGCGCUAAUUAACGGCGGGAUUAACGGGGUACGGGGCUGUAAUGGGGUGUCGGUAAUUAACGGGAAUAUUGGCAAUUAAUGGGGUAAUUAAUGGGAAUAUCAGUAAUUAAUGCGGUAAUUAACAAGGUUACAGGUUCUUGAUGGGAAUAUGAAUAAUUAAUAAUAAUUAUUAAAUUUAAUAAUUAAAGGGUUAUCAACAAUUAGUGGGAUAUUGGCAAUUAGAGGGAUAAUUAACGAGAUAAUUAACGAUAUAUCGAUAAUUAAUGGGAUCCACAAUGGGAUAAUUAAAGGGAUAUCGGUAAUUAAUGAGAAUAACGGUAACUAACAGGGUAAUUAACGGGGAUACAGAUUAUUAAUGGGAAUAUCCGUAAUUAUUGGAAUAAUUAAUGGGAUACCCAUAAUUAACGGGAUAAUUAAUGGGAACACAGAUCAUUAAUGGGAUUAUCGCUAAUUAAUGGGGCUAAUGAGAGAGAUAUUGGUAAUUAAUGCGGAUAUCGGCAAUUAAGAGAGUUAUUAAUGGGAAUAUAGAUAAUUAAUGGGAAUAUUGGUAAUUAAUGGGAAUAUCGGUAAUUAAUGGGGUAAUUAGUAAGCUAUCGGCAAUUAAUGCGAUAUCCAUAAUUAGUGGGAUAUCGGAAAUUAAUGAGAUGUCGGUAAUUAACACCUUAAUUAAUGGGAUAUCAGUAAUUAAUGGGAUAUCGGCAAUUAAUGGGAAUAUCGGUAAUUAACGGGACAUUGGCAAUUAGUGGGGUGUGGGUAAUUAGCAGAGUAGCGAUAAUUAAUGGGGAUAUCAGUAAUUA
ensembl:lncRNA